rnacentral:lncRNA from 13 species
CUUCAAAUGAGUAAAAAUAUAUAAUUUUAAAAACAGAAAUAACAUUUUUAGAUUUGCUAGAAAAGCAUUCACUAUUGAUUGAACUUUUUAGGGCUAUAGUGUAUCUAUCCCAGAAAUUUAAUUAAAACUAAAAAAACCACCAUUGUUUCUAUAUUUUUAUAUAUAAUGUAUACAAUAUAAAUAGAAGUGCUUAAAAUAAAUGAAGAAAUUGUGGGAAUAUUUGACUAUUUUUUCAAAUUAGAUUUCACUAUAGUAUAAUAAAAAGAAAAUAUUAAGGUAGGGAUUAAUAAUAUCUGAAUAAGAGAACAUCCAUUUUUCUUACUUGUUGUGUAAUUUCACUCAGCAUUUGCCAAGAUAAACACUUUAAACUACCUAAUUCUUGGUUGUGUUUGGGGCAGGAGGAAGUGAGGCUGCUGUGUUCAUUUUAAGAUGUUUAGCAGCAUCUUGGACCUUUACCUAUGAUAUGGUUUGGCUGUGUCCCCAUCCAAAUCUCAUGUUGAAUUAUAGCCUUCAUAACUCCCCCAUUUUGUAAGAGGGAUCCAGUGGGAGAUAAUUGAAUUAUGGGGCACUUUCCCUCAUACUGUUCUUGUGGUAGUGAAUAAGUCUCAUGAAAUCUGAUGGUUUUACAAGGGGAACCCCUUUCACUUAGCUCUUAUUCUCUCUUCCAUGCUGCCAUAUAAGAUGUGCCUUUUGCUUUCUACCAUGAUUGUGAGGCCUCCCCAGCCAUGUGGAACUUAAUAAGAUUUUUGGAUGAAUACAGAAAUGCUCAACUUAAGACCACAUCUCAACUUCUCUUCCAACUAGAAAGAAGUAAAUUGCAAGUCUUCAAACUGUGAAAAAAUAGGUAUAUAAAUUGACUUUCAGAAAAAAUCUGGUUGUAAAUAUGAGUUUAUAUUUGUUUUUCAUUUUGAUGAUUUUAAUUAAUCAACCACUUAAUUUUUUAAUAUAAAAAUAUGUCAGUAAGCUUCAUGUCUAAAAUAAAGUCAUAUGAAGAGACA